AGAGAUCUCUUCAUAUUUUAUCAGCCAAAACGCCAUAGAAGGUCUGGAGAAAGCUGGUUUUUCAUAUUUUACAUCAUAUCAAGAAAACGAACUGAAUCGUGGAAAGGAGAAAAUUCAAGAAUAGUCCCUGAAUUUCUACGACUUUUGCAAAUUAGUCCAGAUUGAAUUAAAGAGAAGUUGGUAGA